rnacentral:rRNA from 1 species
GGAAUUUUGGACAAUGGGCGCAAGCCUGAUCCAGCAAUGCCGCGUGAGUGAAGAAGGCCUUCGGGUUGUAAAGCUCUUUUGUCAGGGAAGAAACGGUGCUUUCUAAUACAGAGCGCUAAUGACGGUACCUGAAGAAUAAGCACCGGCUAACUACGUGCCAGCAGCCGCGGUAAUACGUAGGGUGCAAGCGUUAAUCGGAAUUACUGGGCGUAAAGCGUGCGCAGGCGGUUUUGUAAGACUGUCGUGAAAUCCCCGGGCUCAACCUGGGAAUGGCGAUGGUGACUGCAAGGCUAGAGUUUGGCAGAGGGGGGUAGAAUUCCACGUGUAGCAGUGAAAUGCGUAGAUAUGUGGAGGAACACCGAUGGCGAAGGCAGCCCCCUGGGUCAAAACUGACGCUCAUGCACGAAAGCGUGGGGAGCAAACAGGAUUAGAUACCCCAG